GAAAGCCCACACAGCUUAGCUGUUCAAUAUACCUGAUCUCAGGUAUAUGAAAGAAAGAAGGCAGACCUCCCUCACUUCCUUUGCAAAUUUCCAUAGGCCCUUUCUAUGGCAGGAUACCAACUGCCUUCUUAGACAUUCUAGAGGUCCAGAGGUCUCUCCCAAUUCAUUAGUCUCACUGUGAAUUGUAGAAAGCAUAUUACAGAGGGUCAAUAAACUUUGGCCAAUGGUAGUGAUAUUUGUAAGCAAUAAAAGAAGGUUGGGUUGAUCAGUCCGUUAUAGAAAUCAUAUUUGAUAACAGUAAUCUUGCUUUGUAAAUCUGGCUUAAUAGUUUCGAGCCACAAUUUAAGGCUGUUCAUUUAUAUCAUCACCUGAAGUUUAGAAGAUACCAUGGCCCACAUAAAGAUAGGAUGUGAUGUACCAAGCUGAGUGUUGGGAGGAACUACAGCCUCUCUUUUGAAAUGGAAGAUCCUCGGCCCAAGCUAUAAACAUGUUAGUCCAAAAUUCAUCUGGAAUUUUGUUGUUUGGGAUGCAAAACACAAUAUUCCCAUAGAAACAAUAUAAAAAUUAUGGCUAGAUUCUAAGGCAAGGCAACAGAUGUCCAUGGAAUCCAGCGACUCAGAGCACCAACUGUCCAACUGUGCUUCAUUUUCACAGAAAAAGGGAGGCUAGAACAUGUCUUUACCUCA
rnacentral:lncRNA from 10 species